UCUUCAACGAGGAAUGCCUAGUAGGCGCAAGUCAGCAGCUUGCGCCGAUUACGUCCCUGCCCUUUGUACACACCGCCCGUCGCUCCUACCGAUUGAGUGUUCCGGUGAAUUAUUCGGACCGUUUUGUGGCGCGUUCGUGCCCGAAAUGGGAAGUUUUGUGAACCUUAACACUUAGAGGAAGGAGAAGUCGUAACAAGGU
rnacentral:rRNA from 1 species